rnacentral:rRNA from 1 species
UACGUAGGGUGCGAGCGUUGUCCGGAAUUACUGGGCGUAAAGAGCUCGUAGGUGGUUUGUCGCGUUGUUCGUGAAAACUCACGGCUUAACUGUGAGCGUGCGGGCGAUACGGGCAGACUAGAGUACUGCAGGGGAGACUGGAAUUCCUGGUGUAGCGGUGGAAUGCGCAGAUAUCAGGAGGAACACCGGUGGCGAAGGCGGGUCUCUGGGCAGUAACUGACGCUGAGGAGCGAAAGCGUGGGGAGCGAACAGG